ensembl:misc_RNA Metazoa_SRP Metazoan signal recognition particle RNA
GCUGGGAAUGGUGGCGGAUGCCUAUAAUCCCAGCUACUCGGGAGGCUGAGGCAGGAGAAUUGCUUGAGCCCAGGAGGCAGAGGCUGCAGUGAGCAGAGAUCAUGCCACUGCACUCCAGCCUGGGCGACAGAGCGAGACUCUGUCUCAA